GCCACAGCCAGUUACUGUUCUAGGCACAGAUGAAGAGACAGACGCUGGCAGCCACAGAUGGUUCCCUGGAGACCUUCAGCAUACUUUGGAUGAAUGGACUGGCCCAAGCACUUCAUAAGUUUAAGAGACUUUUGAGCCAAAAGGAGAAGAGUAAAUUACACCCUGUCACCAAUUACAAGGAUGCCUCCCUCAUAGCUCAGCAGGACCCCACGUUGCCUGCCAGUACCUGC